AUCUUCGGGGUAAGGUGAAAUUCCUGACCGGCGGUGAUAGUCUGUUCCUUGAACGGGCUUCAGCCCGCGACUCGCAGCCUGAAUCAGGCGCGACUGAUCUGGUGAAAUUCCAGGGCCGACGGUAAAGUCCGGAUGGGAGAAGAU
rnacentral:ncRNA from 1 species